UGCGGCAGCUACACAUGCAGUCGAGCGGUAACAGAUCCAGCUUGCUGGAUGCUGACGAGCGGCGGACGGGUGAGUAAUGCAUAGGAAUCUGCCCGAUAGUGGGGGAUAACCUGGGGAAACCCAGGCUAAUACCGCAUACGUCCUACGGGAGAAAGGGGGCUCCGGCUCCCGCUAUGGGAUGAGCCUAUGUCGGAUUAGCUAGUUGGUGAGGUAACGGCUCACCAAGGCCACGAUCCGUAGCUGGUCUGAGAGGAUGAUCAGCCACAUCGGGACUGAGACACGGCCCGAACUCCUACGGGAGGCAGCAGUGGGGAAUAUUGGACAAUGGGGGAAACCCUGAUCCAGCCAUGCCGCGUGUGUGAAGAAGGCCCUCGGGUUGUAAAGCACUUUCAGCGAGGAAGAACGCCUAGCGGUUAAUACCCGCUAGGAAAGACAUCACUCGCAGAAGAAGCACCGGCUAACUCCGUGCCAGCAGCCGCGGUAAUACGGAGGGUGCAAGCGUUAAUCGGAAUUACUGGGCGUAAAGCGCGCGUAGGUGGCUUGAUAAGCCGGUUGUGAAAGCCCCGGGCUCAACCUGGGAACGGCAUCCGGAACUGUCAAGCUAGAGUGCAGGAGAGGAAGGUAGAAUUCCCGGUGUAGCGGUGAAAUGCGUAGAGAUCGGGAGGAAUACCAGUGGCGAAGGCGGCCUUCUGGACUGACACUGACACUGAGGUGCGAAAGCGUGGGUAGCAAACAGGAUUAGAUACCCUGGUAGUCCACGCCGUAAACGAUGUCGACCAGCCGUUGGGUGCCUAGCGCACUUUGUGGCGAAGUUAACGCGAUAAGUCGACCGCCUGGGGAGUACGGCCGCAAGGUUAAAACUCAAAUGAAUUGACGGGGGCCCGCACAAGCGGUGGAGCAUGUGGUUUAAUUCGAUGCAACGCGAAGAACCUUACCUACUCUUGACAUCCUGCGAA
rnacentral:rRNA from 1 species